GAGGGUAUAGCCCAGUGGUAGAGUGCAUGCUUAGCAUGCACAAGGUCCUGGGUUCAAUCCCCAGUACCUCCA
rnacentral:tRNA from 1 species